UCUCUCUUCUCUUUCUCCUUCACCCUUCUUCUCCUUUACAUAGAUUAUUAUUCAUCUUUUUCUUCCCCACCUCUUUGCUUAUCUUCUUCUUACCUUCACCUUAUCCUCUCUCUCGUUGAGAUGGUUCCCUAAGUUAUUCCUCCUUCAUUCCCUAAUUGCAAUUUUCAGAUUUGUAACUAAUCUGGUGGCUAGGAAGAGAGCAAUGACGGUGAGGGUGAGUGUAGAGCCGUCACAGAUUUGAUGGAGGUUUUUAUUGCCUACGUAGUUGAGAAAGUUGUCUAAAGAUCUACAACAUUGACGGCAACGGCAACGCUUCAGAUCUGUCAAAGAAAGCGGCAACGGCGAAUUUGCAGCCGUGAUCUCCUUGUUUGUAAAAACCCUAACUUUUUGAUGGGUUUGAGUUUGUUAAGAGGCCCAAAUUUUAAUUAGGUUAGGUCCAUUAUUGUGGUUUGUAAAUGUAAGUUAUUUAAGCCCAUAAUUUUUUACUUUGGUGUA